rnacentral:rRNA from 1 species
CCAGCACCCCGAGUGGUCGGGACGAUUAUUGGGCCUAAAGCAUCCGUAGCCGGUUUUACAAGUCCUCCGUUAAAUCCAACUGCUUAACAGAUGGGCCGCGGAGGAUACUAUAAGACUAGGAGGUAGGAGAGGCAAGCGGUACUCAGUGGGUAGGGGUAAAAUCCGUUGAUCCAUUGAAGACCACCAGUGGCGAAGGCGGCUUGCCAGAAUGCGCUCGACGGUGCGGGAUGAAAGCUGGGGGAGCAAACCGGAUUAGAUACCCGGGUAGUCCCAGCUGUAAACGAUGCAGACUCGGUGAUGGACUAGCUUUAUGCUAGUCCAGUGCCGCAGGGAAGCCGUUAAGUCUGCCGCCUGGGUAGUACGGUCGCAAGACUG